AUGGUCACUUUCACAACACAUAUGCUAAAAUUGGAACGAUACAGAGAAGAUUAGAGUGGCCCCUGUGCAAGGACGGUGUGCAAAUUCAUGAAGCGUUACAUAUUUAU